rnacentral:antisense_RNA from 1 species
AAAGAAAGAGAUAAAAGAGGAAGGGAAGACAGGGAAAAGAAGGAAGAAAAGAGAGGCGACUCCUAGCAGCGGCCGAGCUUACAGAGAGAAGGGUGGAGGUGUGUGGUGGAAGGGGAAAGCCGGCCGGCUGGCAAAGCGCUGCGGAGAAAGACACGAGGCUCCUGCGCAGGGAAAGCCGAGGUUGCCACCGCAGGCCUGGCACGACCAGGGCCGUGAUGCCCCGCCCGGCCCGACCCCCGCGCGCAGAGGUACCUGGAGACGAUUUCAACUGAAGUAAUGAAGGCAGUGUCGUGCUGUCGAGAGAAAGGUGGAUCCCAACAACAGGAAACUACCUAAAUCACCGACCAGUUCUGGUGCUGCCCGCGAAGGGCUGCCUCGCCCGCCGCCGCCGCCGCCUCCGCCGCUGCCGCCGCCGCCGCCGCCGCCGCCGCCGCCAAGGAGAGAACCCUGCCAUCGCGCCUGGCCCGGCCCAGCCCAGCCCCUAGGCAACCUGCGCCCGCCAGUGCAACAGAGUGCCCCAGGCGGCCGCAAAUGCGUCAAGGAAGGGGAAGCCACAGGCCCCAGUAAGCCAAAGUCAAGCCCGUUUGCCAACCUGCAUGUCCAUGCCUGUAAGCCCUUCUCUUGGCCAAGGAAGAAAGGAAGAAAGAAAAAAGAAACCCAGGGGCCUGUAUCCCCUGAUUAAACACAGCACAGCACUCCAGGCAGACAUGCCCGGUGGCGGCUCCUUUGCACCAUUGACCUCAGGCCAGACACCUCAGCGCCAACAAUGGGACCUCGGCCUUCCGGCUAGGUUUGCCCCAGGCUGGGCAGGAAACCAGCUCGGCCGAAGACAGGGGCCAUUUCGAGCAGUGGGACCCCAAGACAGCAAACCCAGCCCAGUCACGACUUGACACUUAGGACAAUAUCUAUCUCUAUAGAAUUUUAGCACGAUAUGGCUUUUUCCCCCAGAAAACAACAAAUAAACCAGCACCAAGCAAACACAAAGAAACAAAAAGUCAGAACAAACCAGCCCUGCACAGAUGUAACGGCCCAGGAGAUGGCGAGUGUGGGAGGGAGGAACAGGGCUCCAGCACAGGUGCGAGUUCCUGGGCAGAGGCUGAAGACAGAGGGAGGGGACCAGCGCUCGGGAAGUGAAAAAACCGCGUCGCCUGGAGAUUCAUCAGGAAAAAUUAAAGU